rnacentral:lncRNA from 1 species
GUAAGCAUAAAAAAAAACCACGCACCUGGGAUGCCGCAAGAGAGAAAAAGAAGAAGAGGCAGACGAUAAAGAAAUCAGAAACAACCACGGAAUGCCGCAAGAGAGAAAAAGAAGAUGUGCCGCAAGCGAGAAAAGGAAAAGACCGCAAGAGAAAAUGGAGAAGAGGAAGACAAUAUCAGAAACUGAAUGCCGCAAAGAGUUUGCGGUUGUAUUUAAAAUGAAAUUGGGCGUCGGUUGCUCCAGACACCGACGUCUAUAUUCACAUAGACGUCGGUUAUCUCACUAAUAUGACGUCCAAGUUAACAUUUCAACUGACCUUUU